CCUGGCUGUGGCUGGGGACACUGGAAAUGCCCCUCUGGAGGCCACCACCAAAAUGGGCUCAGGACAGAACUUCUUUUCCCAGCUCAGAGCAGACAGCUCUAUGGCUUGUCUUCCCUCCAUUGCUGGGACACUACCACUCUGUGAGGAGAAGAAGUAUGAAGUGCUUGCUUGGACCUUUCUACUGUGCUUAUUAUUCUGUCUUCUCCUCAUGGCAACUCUGCUCAGGCAACUCUUCCUCUGAGGAUCCUUCCAGUGACAAUUCAAGAAUUAGCGACUCAAUUCCCAGGGUCCCUUAGACCUUCGACCUGCUUGUGGGCAAUUUGGAAACAAGGAUUGUGCCUGAAUCACCUUUGCAUUCCUAGCAUCGUUUUUCCUGGAUAAUAAUUUGUUCAAUAUAUGUUCAAUAAUUGUUCAAUUAUUCAAUAACAAAUGUUCAAUAAAUGUGUGUUAAAUGAAUGACCACAGCUCCUAUAGCAGGUAGCUGACUUUGUGUCUCCUCAACCAAUCUCUGAGCUCUUUGAAACAAAGCCUAUUUUGUUUGAAUGUAAAUUUAUCAUCCCAGUUUCUGGUACAGGGUAGGGAACUAAUGCAUAUGUGGUGAAACAAUCAAUGCCUUAGUGCUUAUGAAGAAUAUCACUGUGUUACACAGAAGCAUGGAAUGACUAAUGUUAAGCUAAACUCAAGUUACUUAGGGAAUAUUAACUUGCAUUUAUUAUACUCUGGGGGAAAAACACAUAUAUGUGUAUAUAUGUAUAACAUAUGUAUGUAUACACAUAUCAGAAUUUGUAUAUGAGAAUGUCUGAUUACUAUCAAAAUACUAUGAUUAAGAAUUAAUUGCAAGACUUUGUAAUUAAAGGUGUCGACACCUCUUAUGUCUCCCUAUUUCUUGUAUUUGGAUUAUCUCUUUCCCUGCCUAUGCUAGAUAUACAAGGUGAUGCCGUGAUUGUGUCUGAUUUAAGCACCAUGACAGUGAUUUGGAGUAACUGUGAAAUUAUUCAUUUUGUGUUUUUUCCAAGCCUUCUGUGUUUCAGUUGCACAGACUGCUCUGACACUGUUAGCGAUGGCAAUCAAAUGCCAGCACAAGAAGCAAGGGGGCACAAAUGAAUCUCCUGAUGAGGUCUAUUUACAGUUCUUGCAGAAUAUUAUACGUUUUUUACUUCAAAACCUCUAGAGUUUUUUAUUUUUAAAACUUUGGUGUAUUUGAGAAUUGGGGCUGGUCAUUUCCUGGUAUGGCUAAUGGUAAAAUAUCAGCUCUUUCUCUCGUUAAUUCAUUUGAGGGAGAUUUCGUUAAGAGGAAGAUUCAGUGAUGAACUCAUGGAGGGAGAGCUGUACCUCUGGUUAGGCUCAGGAGUCGAGAGUGUGAGCUAUGGAGUGAAAGUAGGUGUUUUCAAAUCUGCGUCUACUGUUCCUGAUAGUUAAACACUGGGCAGGUCACUUACUUUGUGCUUCUGUUUCCUCAGCUGCAAAAAAAACUAGUACUUGCUCCAUGACAUUGUGAGGUUUAGAAUUAAUCCAUGCUUACGACAGUGACUGUCAAACCAAAAGUACACAAUAGAUACUAUCUGUUACUAUUGUUCUGUUUUUUUAUUCUUUAUAUUGUUUUACAUCUGAGAACUUCAAAGAUUAUUUGAUACAAAUAUCUCCACUGAUAAAAAUAUCAGUAGAGAAAUAGGAUAAUUAUGCUUAACCAGCUCACAUGUUAUCAAGCA
rnacentral:lncRNA from 10 species